GGCGGGCGGGCGCAGCGCUGGUCCCCGAGAUCCGCGGGGGAGGGGCCGGCGGCCGGGUGCGGCCGUGGCCUCCUCCGGGUCUGGGGGCGGCGGGGGUCGCCCCGAAGGCCCGGCAGUUGCAUCUCCUCACCCCGCGGUCCGCACUUUCCUUGGGGGGCUGGAGGAGAAGCUCGUCGCUCUGUUCUGUUUGCUCAGAUUUCAUUCACGUCGCCAACUCUGGGGCCCUCGGGUUCUCCGACUUCCUAAUGGUAAAUUUUGUGGGAGCAGAUCAGGGUAAUUGCAAGAAGACAGAUCCUGGCUCAGUAUGAAGAAAUUUCCAACUCUGCCAACUCUAUGGGGCUGAGCACAAAAAGCUGAAGAGGAGGAAACUAAAGUUCAAGCCCAGAGGCUCAGCCAUCACAUCGGUUUUCUUUCCAUAAUACUAUACUUAUGUCUAAAAUAAAUCUAUUGGAAUUUAGCCCAGAA